AAGUCGAACGCACCCGCUUCGGCGGGUGAGUGGCGCACGGCUGAGUAACACGUGGGAACCUGCCCCCCGGUGGGGGAUAACGCGACGAAAGUUGCGCUAAUCCCGCAUACGUCCUUCGGGGGAAAGCGCAGUGCGCGCCGGGGGAGGGGCCUGCGGCCCAUCAGGUCGUUGGUGGGGUAAUGGCCUACCAAGCCGAUGACGGGUAGCUGGUCUGGGAGGAUGACCAGCCAGACUGGGACUGAGACACGGCCCAGACUCCUACGGGAGGCAGCAGCAAGGAAUUUUCGGCAAUGGGCGCAAGCCUGACCGAGCAACGCCGCGUGCGGGAUGACGGCCUUCGGGUUGUAAACCGCUUUUCGGGGGGACGAC
rnacentral:rRNA from 1 species